rnacentral:lncRNA from 10 species
AAUAAAUGAAGAAAAAGGUGCUAGGAGAGCUCAGUAGAGGAAGUUCUUGGGCGUCCACACUUCCCUUCCAGCUGUGUAGUCCUCGGAGAUUCCACCCAGUGCACAAAUGCAACUGACUUCUGAGCAACCCCCAUCUGCAGGUGGGCUCACCCCAGCUCCCAGCACAUCCUCUCUCCCCUACCUUGCCUCUCCAUUCAGGGCAGGAGCAGAGCCUGCCUGAGGACCUAGCUCUGUGCAGGUCCCUGACCUCUAGAAGUGUCCCCAGCACCCAGGGCAAACUGGUCUGUGGCAAGAAGGGAGUUCCUGAUUUUGUGGAACUAGGCGACAGUGACAACAAGCCUGCCACAAGAGACAAUGAAUGUUGAGGGGUCAGAGCCACAACAGGGGCCGGACAUCAGUUAGAGUCCAUAGGAAGCCACGACAAAGUCUCAGCCAGAUCCUAACUAGGUGCUGUACUUCACUUCCAGUUUCUUAAAACACCGACCACCAGCCCUGCAGAGGAGAGGUCACUCGGGCAGAGAACCAAGCCACCCCAGGGUGGCCAGUGUCUUCACACUGAGUGAGGAAAUGCUGCUGCUGGGGCAAUCUCAACGGUCAUGCUCUUGCCUCAGUCAGGGCCAGGAUGGGUCCUGAGGCAGCCCAAAAACAGAAACAGGCCCAGAGAGGCGGAGCCACAUGGGGCCAGAGACCCCAGGAGGCCCUCAAGCCUUCAGCCAAAGCACCUGGAUGUCAGAGCUGGGUAAACUGGGAUACAACCCCAGCCACUUUAAGGGCACAAAGAGCACCAGGAUGUAAAAUCAGCAACAGCGGGCGGUGGGACCCCGGAGCCCACUCACUCCAUCCCCAGCCCUACUCCUGAGGCACCCAGUUUGAAACCACCUAUCCAUGAACCUCUCCUUUCAAGAUGGAGAAAAUGGCCUGUAAUCCCAGUACUCUAGGGAAGCUGAGGCAGGUGGAUCGCUUAAGCCCAGGAGUUUGAGACCAGCCUGGGCAAAAUGACAAAACCUCAACUCUACAAAAAAUACAAAAAUUAGCCAAGGCAUAGUGGCUCAUGCCUGUGGUCCCAGCUACUUGUGAGGCUGAGAUGAGGGCAUCAUUUGAGCCCAGGAGGCGGAGGCUGCAGUGAGCAGAGAUCACGCCACAGCAUUCUAGCCUGGGCAACUGAGAACCUGAGAUAGGAAGGUUUUUUUGUUUUGUUUUGUUUUUUUAAGAGCCAGGGUUUCACUGUUGCCCAGGCUGGAGUGCAGAGCCAUGAUCAUAACUCACUGCAGCCUUGAACUCCUGGGCUCAAGUGAUCCUCACACCUCAGCCUCCCAAGUAGCUGGGACUACAGGCACAUGCACAGCUCUUUCUUUUUUUUGUAGAGAUGAGGUCUCACUAUGUUGCCCAGUUUGGUCCUGAACUCCCAGGCUCAAGCAAUCCUCCCACCCUGGCCUCCCAAAGUGCUGUGAAUACAGGCAUGAGCCACCGCACCUGGCCGGAAGGGCCUUUCUGACAAAGGCACAGCCACUAGGAACAGAGCCAGGGUUGGACUCAUCUCCUGUGUCCACCAGCCAGGACUGGCCAGGCAUUAACCUCCCCAAAGCUGUGGGUCAGAAACCCUGGGGGGACUUGUUGAAAGCACAGACCACCUUCCCUUUUGAAUCAGGCCUGACUGUGAUGGAGUCCUCAGAUGACACUUGCACUGUUUGGAUAACACCACAGUCUGGCCCUGGUGAGAACUGAGAAAUCUUUGCCACCAGCCUCAGCAUCCAGGCCACUUCUGACAAGGCCACUGGGGUUUUGUUUUUUUAAAGCCAGGAUGAGCUGGACCCUUGCCAUAAUUCCUUCAGCCCAUGGAAGGAGAUGACCCCAGAGAAGCUCUAGCCACUGUGGGCGCUGCCUCAACAAAGAGCCUUCUGUGAGGUCUGUCCCUUCACCUCCAGGCCCAACUCCUGACAGAGGCCAGUGUCCCUGCUUCCUGGGCCUGGUGAGGUUCACUGCACACGGGUCAGCAAUGGCAUAGGAAUGGGAAAGCUAUCGAGAAACGAGCCUGGGUCCUCACAGAAUGUACAAAUCCUGUCUCAGUAAGUGGCCAGCAAAAGAUUGGACCAAAGCUAGACAUGGUAGCACAUGUCUGUGGUCCCAGCUACCCAGGAGGGUGAGGCAGGAUUGCUAUAGCCUAGGAGUUCAAGACUGCAGGGAGCCAUGACUGUGCCUCUGUACUCCAGACCUGGUGGGUGACACAGCAAGACCCUGUCUUAAAAAAAAAGAAAAAAGGAAAAGGGGCCAGGAGCGGUGGCUCACGCCUAUAAU